GAUGAACGCUGGCGGCGUGCCUAAUGCAUGCAAGUCGAGCGAACGGACGAGAAGCUUGCUUCUCUGAUGUUAGCGGCGGACGGGUGAGUAACACGUGGAUAACCUACCUAUAAGACUGGGAUAACUUCGGGAAACCGGAUCUAAUACCGGAUAAUAUUUUGAACCGCAUGGUUCAAAAGUGAAAGACGGUCUUGCUGUCACUUAUAGAUGGAUCCGCGCUGCAUUAGCUAGUUGGUAAGGUAACGGCUUACCAAGGCAACGAUGCAUAGCCGACCUGAGAGGGUGAUCGGCCACACUGGAACUGAGACACGGUCCAGACUCCUACGGGAGGCAGCAGUAGGGAAUCUUCCGCAAUGGGCGAAAGCCUGACGGAGCAACGCCGCGUGAGUGAUGAAGGUCUUCGGAUCGUAAAACUCUGUUAUUAGGGAAGAACAUAUGUGUAAGUAACUGUGCACAUCUUGACGGUACCUAAUCAGAAAGCCACGGCUAACUACGUG
rnacentral:rRNA from 1 species